GUGGGGAAUAUUGCACAAUGGGCGCAAGCCUGAUGCAGCAACGCCGCGUGAGGGAUGACGGCCUUCGGGUUGUAAACCUCUUUUAGUAGGGAAGAAGCGAAAGUGACGGUACCUGCAGAAAAAGCACCGGCUAACUACGUGCCAGCAGCCGCGGUAAUACGUAGGGUGCAAGCGUUGUCCGGAAUUAUUGGGCGUAAAGAGCUCGUAGGCGGCUUGUCGCGUCUGCUGUGAAAACCCGAGGCUCAACCUCGGGCCUGCAGUGGGUACGGGCAGGCUAGAGUGCGGUAGGGGAGAUUGGAAUUCCUGGUGUAGCGGUGGAAUGCGCAGAUAUCAGGAGGAACACCGAUGGCGAAGGCAGAUCUCUGGGCCGUAACUGACGCUGAGGAGCGAAAGCAUGGGGAGCGAACAGGAUUAGAUACCCGGGUAGUCC
rnacentral:rRNA from 1 species